AGCGAACGCUGGCGGCAGGCCUAACACAUGCAAGUCGAACGAUCCUUCGGGAUAGUGGCGGACGGGUGAGUAACACGUGGGAACGUGCCCUUUGGUUCGGAACAACUCAGGGAAACUUGAGCUAAUACCGAACGUGCCCUUCGGGGGAAAGAUUUAUCGCCAUUGGAGCGGCCCGCGUCUGAUUAGCUAGUUGGUGAGGUAAUGGCUCACCAAGGCGACGAUCAGUAGCUGGUCUGAGAGGAUGAUCAGCCACACUGGGACUGAGACACGGCCCAGACUCCUACGGGAGGCAGCAGUGGGGAAUCUUGCGCAAUGGGCGAAAGCCUGACGCAGCCAUGCCGCGUGAAUGAUGAAGGUCUUAGGAUUGUAAAAUUCUUUCACCGGGGACGAUAAUGACGGUACCCGGAGAAGAAGCUCCGGCUAACUUCGUGCCAGCCGCCGCGGUAAGAC
rnacentral:rRNA from 1 species